rnacentral:rRNA from 1 species
AGAGUUUGAUCAUGGCUCAGAACGUACGCUGGCGGCACGCCUAACACAUGCAAGUCGAACGAAGUAGCAAUACUUAGUGGCAGACGGGUGAGUAACAUGUGGGUAUCUACCCUUUGGCCUGGAAUAACACGAGGAAACUUGUGCUAAUACUGGAUAAGUCUUUACGGAGAAAGCUUUAUGCACCAUUGGAUGAGCCCGCACUUGAUUAGUUUGUUGGUGGGGUAAUGGCCUACCAAGACUGUGAUCAAUAGCUGAUUUGAGAGGAUGAUCAGCCACAUUGGGACUGAGACACGGCCCAAACUCCUACGGGAGGCAGCAGUGGGGAAUCUUGCACAAUGGAGGAAACUCUGAUGCAGCGAUGCCGCGUGAGUGAAGAAGGCCUUUGGGUUGUAAAGCUCUUUCGUCGGGGAAGAAAAUGACUGUACCCGAAUAAGAAGGUCCGGCUAACUUCGUGCCAGCAGCCGCGGUAAUACGAAGGGACCUAGCGUAGUUCGGAAUUACUGGGCUUAAAGAGUUCGUAGGUGGUUGAAAAAGUUGGUGGUGAAAUCCCAGAGCUUAACUCUGGAACUGCCAUCAAAACUUUUCAGCUAGAGUUUGAUAGAGGAAAGCAGAAUUUCUAGUGUAGAGGUGAAAUUCGUAGAUAUUAGAAAGAAUACCAAUUGCGAAGGCAGCUUUCUGGAUCAUUACUGACACUGAGGAACGAAAGCAUGGGUAGCGAAGAGGAUUAGAUACCCUCGUAGUCCAUGCCGUAAACGAUGUGUGUUAGACGUUGGAAAUUUAUUUUCAGUGUCGCAGCGAAAGCGAUAAACACACCGCCUGGGGAGUACGACCGCA